rnacentral:rRNA from 1 species
CGCGUAGGCGGCCUGGUAAGUCAGAUGUGAAAGCCCGGGGCUUAACCCCGGCAGUGCAUUUGAUACUGUCAGGCUUGAGUAUGGGAGAGGGAAGUGGAAUUCCUGGUGUAGAGGUGAAAUUCGUAGAUAUCAGGAGGAACACCGGUGGCGAAGGCGACUUCCUGGACCAAUACUGACGCUGAGGCGCGAAGGCGUGGGGAGCAAACAGGAUUAGAUACCCUGGUAGUCC